rnacentral:rRNA from 1 species
CCCACCUGAAUCCAUGCCGAACUCAGAAGUGAAACGCCGUAGCGCCGAUGGUAGUGUGGGGUCUCCCCAUGCGAGAGUAGGACACUGCCAGGCA